rnacentral:rRNA from 1 species
UACGAAGGGGGCUAGCGUUGCUCGGAAUCACUGGGCGUAAAGCGCACGUAGGCGGCUUCUUAAGUCAGGGGUGAAAGCCUGGAGCUCAACUCCAGAACUGCCUUUGAUACUGAGGAGCUUGAGUCCGGGAGAGGUGAGUGGAACUGCGAGUGUAGAGGUGAAAUUCGUAGAUAUUCGCAAGAACACCAGUGGCGAAGGCGGCUCACUGGCCCGGUACUGACGGCUGAGGUGCGAAAGCGUGGGGAGCAACAGG